UUAAAUAAAAGAGAAAUAAAAAAAUGGAAUUGGGAUUUAGGGUUACAUGAAUGGCGCUUGGACUUCUUCUCUCAAAUGUGCUUGCGACGGCGACGGAUUUUCUCCGAUCGCUCUCUCUUCGUUCGUCUCUCUUUCGAUCUCAACUAGAUGUAAUCGCGAGCAGAUAGCCAAUUUGUGCGAUGGAGAUGAUGAUGAACGUUGUUGUUGUAAGCGCAGAUUCGCGGAUGAGUAUUAUGAAGAUUGUUGAAUCAUGUUUGCAAUGAGAACGAAGAUGCGACGAAGAUAUGCGAUAAAGACCGAUACUGGUGAUUGACGCAACAUUGAAGUGUUGAUGAUGAUAUGGAUGCGUUUGAAGGAGUUAUGAUGAUGAUGAAGAUGUUACAGAUCGAAUCAGAGAGAAAAAAUAUGAAGGUUCUUCUGUUAUGAGGUUAGUCCCAAUCGAUUUUCUUUUUCUGUUAUCUGGUUUUCUCUUCUCCUUUUUUUCUGUUGGUGAUUGAAGAUAAUUGGAGAAGAUUGAAGAAUGUGAUUGGAGAAGAUUGAGAGAGGUUCAGAGAUGAAGAUAGAGUGGUGAGAAGAAUGGAGGUUCUGAAAGAAUGAAGAUGAAAGUGAAUUGUGGAGAGGGAGUUGCAGAAGUGGUGAAGGUUGAGUGAAGGUGAUGAUGAUGUGGCUUGUGAUGGAUGGUGAAUGGUGGAUGAGGGAAGAGGUGGAAGAGUGAAGAGAUGAAGAUGAUGAUGAAUAAAAGUGAAAAAUGGCGGAGGACCUGAAGAAUGAAUCGAGUGCAGAGUUAUAUAGGAGCUGUUAACUGAAUGGUUCAGAGCUGAUUGUAAAGUGAACUUGUAUUGAUUGUUUGGAUGUAGGCUGUUAGUGACUUGAAGGUGGAGGAAACUUUGAAGACCAAAAGGAAAAGGAAGGAUGAAUUUGAUGUAGAAAAAGAUGGUCCUUUAUGGAAUUUGUUUGGAUUAAAGAUAUUUGUAAUUUAGGAUGGAAUUGUAACUUGAUUGUAAAUAAAGUGUACCCUUUUUUUUGUGUAAUAUGAUGUAAUGGUAAUGAUUGAGGUUGUAUAUGACAUGAGAUUUUUUUGUAAUGGAUAUGUAUAAUGGAUUGGACAUGUUGAAAUGAA